GAAGCCGUACGUACAAUGCCUUCGGAAUGUUCCAGGAACGAGCGAUGGCUUUCCUUUCACCUUAAAUUAAACUGGUGAAAGAUCCUGUUGCAAAUCUUCACCUGCCGCUUCCAGCUAACCUAGCUGAACCUGAGCAGAAUAAAGCGUAGCCAGUCAACCAACAGGAUGCAAUGCACCUAUCUGUUCAAAGAGCUCGGUCAUGAUUUUAACUAGAGCCUCCUCGGCAGCGGUAGCAGCCCUUCGCGGUUUGAGGAAGACUGUGCUGUGCUGUGCUCGGAGAAAUGAAAAAAAAACGAGUCUUACUUUUUAUAGUCUGCAUUGUACCUUUUUGUGAUCUUAAUCUUUAGAAAUUGCAUCGACUUAUGAUAUCCGUCUCUUCAUGUGCAUGUAAACGUGGACAAUGGUGAUUAUGUGCAUGAGAAAUAACAGAUGCAAAUAGCUCUGCUUAAACACUGCAAACAAAAAAGCGGUCCUGAUAUUAAAUGCAGUUAUUCAGCUCGGAUAUUCUAAUAUUAGCAGUGACUAGUAGCAAAUCAACAUACGAUCAUUAUCAGUGUGCUACGGUUAAAUUAUCAAAGUAAGGUAUAUAGAACGUCUUCUGCCCAGAGAAAUCGAUAGCAUAGUGGAUGUCUAUGCAGCCCAAUAGAGAAAAUUUGCCAGUCCGUUUUCAGUUGUUUAGACAGAACGUAAGUCUGAAGAAAGAAUGAAUGAAUGAAUGAAAGAAUGAAGAAGACCCCUGUUUAUCUAUCUCUAUUAAAGAUAGGAUAGGAUCUGGUAUUUUAAAAAUGAAAUACGACUGAGUAGAAGAUCGGCAGCCACAAAAGCAAACGACAUACAGGUCCAUAAACGACGAGCAGACAUACACACGACGCACGUUCAUGUGUUUUCUCUCGUAAACUUGUAGACUUGAGCUGAUUUUGUGCCGAAACAAGGGACCAAACAGUAGCCGCUCGAACCGGUUGCUUUAAGGAAAAGGGGGCUCUGUAUUUGGUUCAUCAAGCUUCUAAAAUCACGCCUCUUAUUCCCUUGUUGGUGUAUUUCGUCCGGUAUAAGUUUUCGACUUAAAACUCAUCCUGCUGCCUCUUCGGAGGUGUUACUUUUGAGACAUGAGAAGUAAAUCCUGCCAAUGAAACCGAUCGACCAGUGCAUGUAUCCUACUUGUUCAGGCGUGGAGAAUAUUAGAGAGCUUCUCACGCAAUGCGAGCACGGCAUGGUCCUUUAACGGGUCCUUUCAUUUCAUGUGGACCGCUUCAUUGAGUUCGGCACUUCAACUUUUGUUCUCCUGUAGAUCUCAGCUGCGCUAUUGGCAUAACAGUUGUCCACAACUAGCCCCCACGCCAGUGCCUCUGUUGCCAACAGUCGCGUGGGGAGCUUAAUCUAGGCCACCGCAAAUAAUAACACAAGACAUGUAUAACGCUUAUAAAAUUUAGGGACAUGUCUAAAAAAACUCAUAAUAUAAUUAAUAAUCUUUAUUCGGUUUCAUGGGGAAACUUAUCAUUAUUGACCGACCCCGUAAAAGGGGUGCCUGUUUUGUGCAGCUGGAAACAGUCAAACAGAAAAAAAAAUUACGUAUUAUUUAUUCUGAAGUUGUCUUACCCAAUUCACUUGAAUGAAUAACUUUGGUUUAAAUCUAUAUUGGCUGUAUUCAUAAUAACAGAGUAUCCAAUAUAAACAAAAGAAAUAAUUGCAAUAUCUAAACAGGUGUUCGGCUCAUGCACUCCUUUAUACAUCUGUCUAGUUAAAAGAAAAAGGCCUGAAAUGUGUUGCCGCGAUAAAAUAAGUAAAUGAAUUGUGGUAUGGGAGAUGG